rnacentral:hammerhead_ribozyme from 1 species
AUCCAGCUGACAAAUCCUAAAUAGAACAAAACGCGCGUCCUUGAU